rnacentral:lncRNA from 1 species
GAGCUGCACAGGCCAAGGAAUUCCACAGAGGGUGUGACCCAAAGCCCCUAACAACAGACUCGCUGGGACCCCCUAGACUUGGCAUGGAGGCUGGCGUCGAUUUUCCCAUCAUCCGCCUCUAAGAGCUCAGAGGUAGGGAGAUCCUGCUCCGCCCUCUCGUCCUCUUCCUCCAAGCCUGGGGAAGGGACGUCCUGGCAGGUGGUCAGGGCGUUGCAGUUCGAGUCCAGGCCAGGAUCGGGUGAAGAAGAAGCUCCGGAGCAGGAAUCAGGAGAGCAGCAGAAGCUGUCCGGUGCAGACCUAGAAGACAGAGGUGGUGAAGCCCGGCCAGUGAGGACAAGAGCUGCGGGGAAGGACACCGAGAUGAGAUGCAAAUCGCAAUCGACUGACCAUUAGUUUCCACUGCAGUGUUUGCAGAUGGAGUCGAAUGUAACCCCCCGGGAAUGGAGCCGGGAGGGUCAGAGAACGCGGCUGCGCUCUGGAUCUCCGAAGGGGGGCGGGGGCCUGGAAGAGGUCCGGGCCCAGAAUGGACCUCCAGGUCCCUGCUGCCGCAAUCUGGCCCUGCCCUCCAGCCUACCCCUUACUCCCAGAGGAAGGGACCCAGGGAGACCCACCCAGAUGCCCUGAAAGGAGGUGGAGGAUGGGGGUGGGGCAAUACGCAGAGUUUGUCUGGUGAAUGCAGGAAAGGGGUGGGGGCUGGAGAGGAAAAGGAUGGAGCAGCCGUCAGCUUGUCAACUCCGCAUCUGCUGGCUGCCUCGGCCGGGCUCCAGCCUGCGCCCUCGCCCCUCGGAACAGCGGUAUGUCCAUUCUCUCCGCAUUCGUCUCCAUCGUUCAGCCACCACCGCACCCUUUCUCUAUUCAUUUCUCCUGCUCCCUUGUCCUGCCCCGCCCCUCGUGCCCAGGUCCAUCGGUCUACACCCAUGGGCCGAGCCCUCCUCACCAGGGUCCUCCUGGAACCGCUCCGGCCUUGGGCUUGUCCGCGGCUCCCACGGUCCCCGCCCGGCGGGGCACAGAGCGGGAGGGGAGGGGCACUAGCACAACCUACCCUGCGCUGCGCAGCUGCACCCCUUCGCGCAUGGGCGUGGCGUAGCUCAGACCCGCCCCCAGCGUUUAGCGUCUUUUGUCACCCACCUAGAGGGUUUGAUAUAUCCUAAGCUUUUGGCCCCUGGGUCCUGGUUCCGUGCAGCGAGUCCUCCCAGCACCCCACCCUGCACAUUCUGGAAAGAGCCAGACUCUGGCUGGGCCGAGCAAGAACAGAACCACAAGAAGGUUACACGAUUAUUUAUUGAGAGCCUCCUCUCCCCGCCCUUGCAAUCUCUAGGUCACUUUCUCCGCUUGUAGAUUUUGCGCGCAAGCCCCAGAAAGACGGCUGGGGGCAGGGGUGCUGCGUACUGUUCAAUGAGAGCCAUAAUGUGGCUGUAACUGUCUUCCUCAUAUUGCAAGAACACUGCUGGCAGAUCCAGCUCCUCAUAUAGCGCCUUCACCCGGGCCACUUUCUCAGCCUCCUUCUGCCCGUAAUUUUCCUGGAAGAGGUUGAAAGACAGGAAAACGGGCUUGGCCUUCCCCAGAGCCUCCAGGACCCCUCCACUCCCCUCAUUCACAUAUUCCAGAACAUCUCCAAAGCCACCCACUCCUUUCCUCCCUCCAAUUUUCAAGUGUCUCUACGUAGCUAAAAUCCCAAGCUUCCCUUCCCUAUCCCAAAUAUUGCCUCAUACCAGGCAUCCUCUACUCCAGGGUUUCUCCACCUUGGCACUAUUGAAAUUUGGGACCAGAUAAUCCUGUCUGGGGGAGCUGUUCUGUGUACUACAUGUUUGGCAACAUCUUUGGCUCCUGCCAACUAGAUGUCUGUACCACAUGCACACACACAGAGUUGUAAUGACAAUGGCAAAAAAUGUCUGCUGACAUUGCCAAAUGUCCCCUCGGGAGGAAAACUGCCUCUAGUUGAGAACCACUGCUCUAUCCCUUUCCACCAACUCAGGGACCCACCACCCUCUCUCAGGCACCUUCAGGAUCUGGUACUGUUCUGGAGUGGCCCGUUGCAGACACUGAACCACCAGCCAGCUGCAUUUGUUGUCCUGGAUGUCAGUGCCAAUUUUGCCGGUCACACUGGGGUCCCCAAAGAGGUCAAGGCACGCUGCAAUCCUGUACCCUGAAACCAGCUAGAUGAGCAUGUCCUAUAGAGGCCAAGGCUACCAUGGGCACCCUCUGGGCAUCGGGCCCUGUCUGCAAUACACCUGCAGGAAGAGCUCGAUCAGGUUCAGGUAAUAGGGCUGCUCCCGGCAAUAGAGCUUCAGCAGGCGGUAGAUACAUGCUUCCAGGAGGUUAGCAUCAUUGAUGGCAUCCAAACCCACGCCCGGCUGUCAUGACAGACAGAAAAACAAGCAAUCAAUCUCUAGUCUCGGUUCAUACUAAGAGCCAUCACCCCAACACCUCAACCAGGCCAUAUAUAACCACCUCCCUGUGGCCUGUCCCCAUACCCACUGCUAUUUUCCUGCCCACAUUACCUUCUGAUACCAGCAGAUCUGUCCCCGGCGGGUAAGGGAUGAAUCCAUGAUGUCAUCUGCCACCAGGAAGAAAGCUUGCAGCUAGAAAGAGUGGAAUAAGACCUGCAGGGCUCCUCAUUACUGUUCCUUCUAUCAGCAACAGAGCUGCUACUUUAUAUCUGUAUAUAGUUUUGCUUUUUUUUGGUAGGGGACAGAGUCUCACUAUUAUCCAGUGCAGUGGUGCAGUCACAGCUCACUGUAGCCUCUAACUCCCAGGCUCAAGUGAUCCUCCCACUUCAGCUUCCUGAGUUCCUGAGACCAUAGGCACAUACCCCAUGCCUGGCUAUUUUUUUUUUUUAAUUUAUUUUUUGUAGAGACAGGGUCCCACUAUGUUGCUCAGGCUGGUUUUGAACCCCUGGGUUCAAAUGAUCCUCCUGCCUCAGCCUCCCAAAUUACUGGGAUUACAGGCAUGAGGCAUCACAGCCGGCCAGAGCUGCUGCCUUUGACAGUCCCUAUGAGCUGGGAAAGUCAGGAUGGGGAGACAGAAGACUUCUGUGCUAUGGAGACUUGGAAAGUGACAUAACAUGUUUGGCUCAGACUCCCCGCCUAUAAAAUGGAACUAAAACACUCUUGUUUUAGGUUAAGAAACUAGAACAGAUCUUUGACAUCUCUAAUGAGCCCUAGAUUAUUCCUGGUGUCAGGGAGAUUAGGAAACACCUUCAUAUACCGUACUCUAUUCUUGCCAAAAACCUCAAUGAAUGCUUAAAGUAAGAUCUAUUCAUGAAACUGACUUCACAUUACUUCCUAAAUAAAAGAAGGCUAUUCCCACAUUGCCCCCAGCACUGUGUUUGAACACCCUGGUGACUAGGAACACAGCCUUACCUAAAGCAGCUCCUUAGCAGUGCAGGUCUAAUAAGGUGGAACUGAAAUCUGACUUUGACCUAUGAGUCUCAGACAUCUUUAAACAUCUUUAAACAUUAACUAAGGGCUUACUCUUCUGAGUGCCCAUCUGAAGGUACCUGAACGUGUCGGGUUUCCCACUAGACCAUGAUCUCCUUGGAAGCAGGGACAGUAACUUCCCCCUCUUAGCAUUUGCAGAGCCUAGCACAGCAUUAGGCCUGGAGUGAGAGUUUCCUAAACACUUGUCUGACAAAGAAAUUAAUAAAACACUCUAACAUUCCCUGUGAUACUUCUUGCAGUCAGUCAAACUAUGUUUUGGUUCCUUAAAUAGCUUUUCUUUUUUUUUUUUUUUGAGAUAGAGUCUCACUCUAUCACCCAAGCUGGAGUGCAGUGGCGCCAUGUGGGUUCACUGUAACCUCCGCCUCCCAAAUUCAAGCGAUUCUCCUGCCUCAGCCUCCCAAGUAGCUGGGACUACAGGCACCUGCCACCACCAACUGCUAGGCCAGCUAAUUUUUGUAUUUUCAUUCAGUAGAGACUGGGUUUUGCCAUGUUGGCCAGGCUGGUCUUGAACUCCUGACCUCAAGUGAUCCGCCUGCCUCGGCCUCCCAAAGUGCUGGGAUUACAGGCGUGAGCCAUCGUGUCUGACCAUUAAAUAGCUUUUCAAGACAUGGUUUGGGUUGCUUUUUUAAAGAGACAAGGGUCUUGUCAUGUUGCCCAAGUUGGACUUGAACUCCUGGGCUCAAGUGAUCCUCCUGUCUCAACUCUUGAGAAUCUAGGGAUAUAGGCACACACCAGCGCACCCAGCUCAAGACAUGGUUUUUAUUUUCAUAACUUAUUUCCUUUUUUUGUUUUUCCACUUCUAGAUACAUACCCAGGUUUUUGUUUUUGAGAUGGAGUUUCACUCUCAUUGUCCAGGCUGGAGUGCAAUGGCGCAAUCUCGGCUCACUGCAACCUCCGCCUCCCGGGUUCACGCGAUUCUCCUGCCUCAGCCUCCCAAGUAGCUGGGAUUACAGGCACGUGCCAUCACACCCGGCUAAUUUUUGUGUUUUUAGUAGAGACAAGGUUUCACCAUGUUGGUCAGGCUGGUCUCGAACUCCUGACCUCACGUGAUCCAUCCACCUUGGCCUCCCAAAGUGCUGGGAUUUUAAGUGUGAGCCAAUGCACCCGGCCCUAUACCCAGGUUUUAAUUUUUAUUAUUAUUUUCUUUUGAGACAGGAUCUCACUCUGUCACCCAGGCUUGAGCAGAAGACAUGGUUUGUGUGUUUUUUUUUUUUUGAGAUGGAGUUUCGCUCUUGUUGCCCAGGCUGGAGUGCAAUAGCGCGAUCUUGGCUCACUGCAACCUCCGCCUCCCGGGUUCAAGCGAUUUUCCUGCCUCAGCCUCCUGAGUAGCUGGGAUUAUAGGCAUGUGCCUCCACGCCUGGCUAAUUUUUUUUUUGUUUUUUGUUUUUUGUUUUUUUUUGAGACAGAGUCUCGCUCUUGUUGCCCAGGCUGGAGUGCAGUGGCACAAUCUCAGCUCACUGCAAGCUCCGCCUCCCAGGUUCACGCCAUUCUCCUACCUCAGCCUCCCAAAUAGCUGGGACUACAGGCGCCUGCCACCAUGCCCGGCUAAUAUUUUUUUUGUAUUCUUAGUAGAGACGGGGUUUCACCAUGUUAGCCAGGAUGGUCUCGAUCUCCUGACUUCAUGAUCCGCCCGCCUCAGCCUCCCAAAGUGCUGGGAUUACAGGCAUGAGCCACUGCGCCCAGCCUAAUUUUGUAUUUUCAGUAGAGAUGGGGUUUCCCCAUGUUGGUCAGGCUGGUCUCGAACUCCUGACCUCAGGUGAUCCACCUGCCUCAGCCUCCCAAAGUGCUGGGAUUACAGGCAUGAGCCACUACACUUGGCCUAGAAGACAUGGUUUUUAAGACUUUAUCCCAUCCUAAUCCUGUGUGCUGUAGUGGAUCCACAUUGCAAAGGAAGCAUGCAACACCGCCUGCCAGAGCCCAGCAUGGGCCGUGGGGAAAGGACCGUUGCAAUCACUGCUGUUAUAGGCAGGGUCCUCAGGGAAGGAGGCAUCCAUCUGCAUCUUUACCUCUGACCUAAACUCAGAAGAGUAGUGUGGAGGUCCUGGGCUUUCCACAUCAAAGGCACAUGUUUAAUUGACUCUGUGUUUAUUUGGAGUAGCAUGGUUUCCCUGAAGCCACCCAUUCACUGCCUCUCCCAAGGGUGACUGCAAGGACAAUCUUGUUUCAGCCACCACCACUCAACCAUGAUGGUCUCCAAGAUAAUUAAUUCCAUGGCCUCCCCAAAUUUCCUCUGCCUCCUAGCACUGAUUCUUAACCCCACCAGCACUUUCUAUUUAUUAGGGAAAUUAAAAAAAAAAAAAAAACCCAGGCCAGGCACAGUGGCUCACACCUGUUAUCCCAGUACUCUGGGAGGCCGAGGCAGGCAGAUCACUUGAGCCCGGGAGUUCAAGACCAGCCUGGGCAACAUAGUGACACUCCAUCUCUACCAAAAAACUAUUUAAAAAGCCGGGCGUGGUGGUAGGCACCUGUAGUCUCAGCUACUUGGGAGGCUGAGGUGGAAGGAUCGCUUGAGCCCAGGAGGUCGAGGCUACAGUACACCAUGAUUGCACCACUACACUCAAGCCUGGGCAACAGAAUGAGGCUUUGUCUCUAAAAAAAAAUUUAGACCAGGCGUGGUGGCUCACGCCUGUAAUCCCAACACUUUAGGAGGCCGAGAUGGGCAGAUCACUCGAUGCCACAAGUUCAAGACCAGCCUCAGCAACAUGGUGAAACCUAGUCUCUAAAAAAAAAAAGCCAAGUAGAGGCUCGCUCCUGUAGUCUCAGCUACUUGGGAGGCUGAGGCGGUGGAAGGGUGGCUUCCGCUCCAGAGGCAGAGAUUGCAGUGAGCCAAGAUCAUGCCACUGCACUCCAGCCUGGGUAACAGAGUAAGACCCUGUAUCAAAAAAAAAAAAAAAUUAAAAAUUUUUAAAAACUUACAGGUGAAACUAGGGUGCUGCUAGGGUUAAGAACUGAUUCUAGGCCAGGUGCAGUGGCUCACACCUGUAACGCCUGUAAUCCCAGCGCUUUAGGAGGGCGAGGCAGAUGGAUCACAAGGUCAGGAGUUCCAGACCAGCCUGACCAAUAUGGUGAAACCCCGUCUCUACUAAAAAUACAAAAAUUAGCCAGGGAUGGUGGCAUGUGCCUAUAAUCCCAGCUACUUAGGAGACUGAGGCAGGAGAAUUGCUUGAACCUGGGAGGCAGAGGUUGCAGUGAGCCAAGAUGGUGCCACUGCACUCCAGCCUGGGCAACAGAGAGAGACUCCAUCUCAAAAAAAAAAUGAACUGAUUCUACCAGUUAACCACUGGCCCCUCAAGGUCUUGCUUCCCUUGGCCCCCAUAGCUUUACUCCUCUGCUCUGCCCUCAUCCUCCUUCCCUUCCUUCCUUGCCUGUCAUCUCCAUAUUUUGAACCCCUCAGCCCCUCAGCAUCCCUGUCAUCCAGGGCCCUCUCCCUGGAUGCCAUGGGCCUAUUACCUCCUUGGAAGCAAAUCUCUAUUCUCCAGACCCAUCUCCCCGACAAGUUCCAGACUGGAAUUUCCACCGCCCACAGGACAGGCAGAUCCACCUGCUCCACCCAUACCAAGAACGUACCCGGGCUGACUGUGCUCAGCACGUCUUCCCUUGAGCCAGCUGCUCCUCUCAGGCCAGGCACUCAGCAUCAUCGUCACUCACCAAGUUCUGAAUGCUCUUCCCUUUUGGGCUCACUGCCACCCUCCUCGGGCAUGGCACCCCUCCCAGAACCCAGUCCCCCUGCCACUAAUGAAAGCUUUAGGCCAUGCCAGCAAACUAGACACCUUCAAGACCAAGACGAACUGGUAUAGAAGACAAGGGGAUGUGGGGAUUGGAGCAAACUAGAGAAAGCACACAGGAGAACACAUGCCGUCUUGCAGAAGUUGCAUCCACUCAGCUUCAGCCAAUUGUUGCUAUGCGGGAACAUGGACCCAAAUCUUACAAUUUCCCAAGCCAUGCUAGAAAUCUAGGUUUUAGUGUGAAAUCUCUUUGUUAAAUUUAGGAGACUUAAUUGUAAAACAUUUUCAAAAUACUGUCAGUGAGCUGCCAGUUUUCAAUUUCUGCUUCUGAAUAGCCUUUGGAAGACCUCUGUCACCUUUUUUUUUUUUUUUUUUUUUGAGAUGGAGUUUCGCUGUUGUUGCCCAGGCUGGAGUGCAAUGGUGCAAUCUCAGCUCAUCGCAACCUCUGCCUCCCAGGUUCAAGCGAUUCUCCU